UUGAACGCUGGCGGCAUGCCUUACACCUGCAAGUCGAACGGUAACGGGCCUUCGGGUGCCGACGCGUGGCGAACGGGUGAGUAAUACAUCGGAACGUGCCCGAUCGUGGGGGAUAACGAGGCGAAAGCUUUGCUAAUACCGCAUACGAUCUACGGAUGAAAGCAGGGGACCGCAAGGCCUUGCGCGGACGGAGCGGCCGAUGGCAGAUUAGGUAGUUGGUGGGAUAAAAGCUUACCAAGCCGACGAUCUGUAGCUGGUCUGAGAGGAUGAUCAGCCACACUGGGACUGAGACACGGCCCAGACUCCUACGGGAGGCAGCAGUGGGGAAUUUUGGACAAUGGGCGCAAGCCUGAUCCAGCCAUGCCGCGUGCAGGAUGAAGGCCUUCGGGUUGUAAACUGCUUUUGUACGGAACGAAAAGCCUUCUUUUAAUACAGGAGGGUCAUGACGGUACCGUAAGAAUAAGCACCGGCUAACUACGUG
rnacentral:rRNA from 1 species